rnacentral:rRNA from 1 species
GAGGAAAGGAAACCAACAGGGAUUCCCUUAGUAACGGCGAGUGAACCGGGAAAAGCUCAAAUUUGAAAUCUGCCAACAGGCCGAGUUGUAAUUUGUAGAUGGCUACACUGCAUAAUAGUAGAUGCUCAAGUUCUUUGGAAAAAGACAUCAUGGAGGGUGACAAUCCCGUGAGGCAUGUUACUAGGAGCAUAUAGUGGGCUUUCUAAGAGUCGAGUUGUUUGGGAAUGCAGCUCAAAGUGCGUGGUGAAUACCAUGUAAAGCUAAAUAUGGACGAGAGACCGAUAGCGAACAAGUACUGUGAAGGAAAGAUGAAAAGCACUCCGAAAGGAGAGUGAAAUAGUACGUGAAAUUGUUAAAGUGGAAGGGCUUGAGAUCAGAAUUGGUAGUUUGGGUUCCACGUCCUCUUGGGGGCGUGUACUCCCUUUCCACCGGGCCAGCGGGAGUUUCGUCUCUUGGGUAAAAGCAGUGGAAUGUAGCAGCUUGUCUGUAUUAUAGCCUCUGUUCAUACAAGACGUCGAGACUUGUUUUUGUUGGCGUAAUGAUCUCUAGCCACCCGUCUUGAACCUCCGGGACCAA